rnacentral:lncRNA from 1 species
GGACCGGACACGAAAAUUGCGGACAGACUGACAGACCGACAGACUGACAGACGGACAGACGGUUCAAAAACUAUAUGCCUCCCUUCAGGGGCAUAAAAAUAGGAUAAUUAAAACAAUCAAAGAGGUAAUUUAUAAUACGAUGAUAAUGUUAUCUUUAUAUGUGAUUAAAAGUAUGUAUGUAAUUACAUUGUAUGAUUAAAUAUAUAAUGCGAUCAGUUUGUAUAAAUUAAUAGUAAGAAGAAAGAAAAGAAUUAAAAUGAUUUUUAUAAUUUUCAGAACUCGAUUUGAGAUGACUUCUCCUGAUAGUCUUUUUUCAUCAAGUCUGAGAAUAUUAAAAAAGGAAUUAAUCAAACGUGAAGAAAUAAGUGACACACGUGAUCAAUUGUCUCGUGUACCGACUCCUGUUUUAGAAGUUAUAUAUAACGAAUUGAGUUUUUCUUCGGACGAUGAUAAUUUAUUUGAAAUAGGAGCCAUACGAAUAGUAAUAUUCGAAUUAUUGAAACAAAGAGUUUUUGAGAAACGAGGUAGGUGUAGUUCAAUCGAUCGAUAUAUGAGCAGACUUAUAAACCAUUGUGGGUAUAUGAUUCCGAGGAAAUUGAUGAUCUGUUUAACCAUCUGUCUGUCGAUGAUAUAUGACGAAUAAGAGUAUAUUUUCCAGGAUCUGUCUGGUUCGAUGUUUUACGAAACGUUUUAUUUAAGAAAUAUUAAAUAACUUUUUGCAGAAUGGUAGAAGAAAUUAUUUAUGAAACUGAAAUAGAGGACGUCAAAAUAGUGUUGAAGAGGGAUGAUCUGUUGGAGACUGAUAUCGUAAUCAUUACAAGGGAAAGACCGGUUAAAAGGCAUAGAAUUGGAAUAAACUAUCGACAGUACAGAAGCUGCUCAAUUUGAGCGAUCAUAUCAACGAAAUAGUGACAAGGUACGGUGAUGGAAGCGUUAGCCUGAUGAAACACUUCAAUGUUGAAGCUGACAUUAUUGUCAAGUUACAAACAUGCGGGAAUUCCAUCCAGAUCGACAUUCAAAGAUAUUGCAAAAUAGAAAGAGUUCCUUUGAGAGUUGGAGUUACAAUUCCUGGAAAUACAUUUCUUCGAGUCGUUGAAGUAUUUAAAGAGUUAAUGGAGGAAGCUCAGUCGAACUAAUCCGGGUAGACAGGACAUACAAUUUAAACAUACGCACAGAGAUACUUUAACAUUUGAACAGACUUUAAAGGAUCAGUCUUGAUAGCUAUAAUGAACUUAACUUUUUUCGGUUACAAGAAUUUGGUAUAUGUUUACGAGCGCGGAUGAAGACUUAAUACUAGUUUAUAAGUAAUUUGAAAUAAAAAAUGUAGAUUUGUUAUAGUUUCUAUAGUCCUACAGUUAUGCAAAUCAUAUUCUUCUUGAGUGUUGAAGUUACAUGUGCAGUUUAAACAAUAAGUUUUCAUUUUCAAUACACUAUUUAUUACUUUCUCAUAAACUUAAUACCCAUCAGAUCUGAAGCAGAAUAACUACCAAGUUAUCGUUUCUCACUUAACAAUCGAAAAAUCUAUACCUAUUCAUCACCCUAGUAAGCGGUAAAUUCCAUUCUUCUUAAAGGUCAUAGUUAUACAUUCCUUUCACAGUAGGUUUCUACCUGAUCACAUUUCUUAAAAAGUAUGAUCAUUUUUCAAUUGUACAUGCGCCUAUCCUACUACUGCUUUUCCCUAUAUAAGUCUAUAUGAACCAUAUGACCCCCAGGGCGGGGCCAUAUUUGACCCUAGGAGGA